CCUCUUGGGUUUUUUUAUAUAUAUAUAUAUAUUUUAUGUUUUCUUAGAAAUAUUUAGGUAAGGUUUAUCUUGAAUCUUAAUUGCCUUAAUUUUAAGGAUGUCAAAGGCUCCAGAGGCAUGCUUUCAGUGUCUUGUUUUUAAAAAAAAAAUAUAUAUAUAUAUAUCAAGAAAGAAUUGAGGUAUUGUGCCAGUUUUCACUGGCAUAGAAGAUGGAGACUGAGUUUUUAGGGUGGAAAAAAAAAGGAAAAAAAACUGUACAGUUUAAAGGAAAAUGUUCUUUCUUCAUUUGAAGAAAAUUUGUUGAUAAACAAAACCAAGGCAACCGCGAGAAUCGGGAAACGCUGGGACACUUCUCAUGAACUUUGACACAAUCCCUCUAAAAGGCUAAAAGACAUUUUACGGUAAAGUUAUUCAUGUUGGUUUGAAAAACAACUGCAUUAGAGAUGAUGUGUGUUUGGGGGGCAGAAUGCAGAUUUUUUUCUUUUUUUAAUUUACAAGAGCGUCGUGGUUGCUAGCGAAAGCGUUAGCGCUUUUUAUCUGCAGUCUUUUCUAUGAGCUUUGUCAGGUUCUAGUCAGCUUUGCUUGUCACAUUGCAAAACCUAGCAUAAGAGCACUCAAAACAAAAUUUUAAGUAGAUAGAAGCUUACGGUCAAAAAAGUGCAAAAAAAAAAAAUUAAAAAAAAAAAAACAAAAACCACACACACAAAGAAAAAAACAAAAACAAAAAAAAAAAGCAAUAGAUAGAGAAAUUGUUGACAAUUUCUGUAGUCUUUCUUGGUUGUGGUCAAUUGCAGCCUAUGGAUGGCCUAUUUUAUACCAAAGAUGAAAUGAGACCCUGUUACAGGCGAUGGUAGACACUGCUUUUCUUUCUUUGAAGUUUCGUUUGACCUACAUGGCCGGACCAGUUCUAACUUCAUUUAAACUACCUUCCACUAGUGUAUUAUAUAACCGC
rnacentral:lncRNA from 1 species